UACAGAGGUCUCGAGCGUUGUUCGGAUUCAUUGGGCGUAAAGGGUGCGUAGGUGGCUAGGUAAGUCGGAUGUGAAAUCUCGGGGCUCAACCCCGAAACUGCAUUCGAUACUGCCUGGCUAGAGUAUGGGAGAGGGAAGUGGAAUUUCCGGUGUAGCGGUGAAAUGCGUAGAUAUCGGAAGGAACAUCAGUGGCGAAGGCGACUUCCUGGACCAAUACUGACGCUCAGGUGCGAAAGCGUGGGGAGCAAACAGG
rnacentral:rRNA from 1 species